rnacentral:lncRNA from 1 species
AUGCUCCCCUGGUCCAUCUCCACCGGCGGGGACGUCCUCUCCUCUCCUGACGCCCCCCCGUCCUCCAUCCCAACCCAUGAUCCAGGCAGUGUGUUGGGUCCUCCCUCCCCACCCACCAUCCCCCCCUCCCUGUUUGCCUCGGGGCUGCAUAUAGGGGACCCCAUCUCCCCAAACAGGAGUUGGGAUCCCUCUAGCAAACAACCCACCGACCCCUCACUGGAGUCAUCCACUAAAAUGCAAGGGGCUGAGGCAAACCGGGAGGACAAAUUACCCUCCCCUCCCCCCCCCGCCACUCUCUUAACCCCCCCUCCCCCUCCACACCCCCCUCCCUCUCACUUCCUGCCAAGCUCCCCCUCUUUAUCCCUUUCUUCUUUGGUGAAGGAGGUAGCGGGGAGACACAACGUCCCAUCCCCACUAACCCCUCCACCAAAUCCCUCAUUUCGACCUCGAGGAAGCCUGGCAGGCUGUCCCCCCACCCCUUCCCCCCAUCUCCCCCCCCUACCACCCCCUCCCCUCCCACCUCCCCUCCUCCCUCCUUCUCCGUCACUGUCCCCGUUCCCUCUUCCACUCCUUCUCGUACGACUGUCCCCUUCUCCCUCUUCUCAGCUCCUCCACCUUCUUCCGUCCCCUUUUUCUUCUCUCCUUCUGUUCCAUUCUUUUCUUCUCCUCGCCUCUUUCUUCCCACCUCAUCCUUCUUCCCAUCUUCUUCCUGCGCCGUCUUUUCCCCUGUGCCAUCCAUGCAAUCCGCACGCGUCCUUUCUUUCCUCCCCCCAUCCCCCGCUCCCCCCCCAGCUGCAGACGCGUAUGACCUGUGACGAGCCGGGCAAUCACGCCACAGGUGUGCUCUUGAGCCACACCCGUGGCAAGCCUUGGGCUCGUCACAUUCCUUGGCCUCGUGCUCUUCCGACCCACAAAAUCGACACCUCUUGGCACUGCACGAGGCCAGGAUAUGGCCGUAGGCCAUACAACGCCUGCAGAACGGGGGCUGACGGGCAUAGUAGAGUGUUCCCCUGUCAGCCCCCAGGGAGAACAUCGCCGGAGGAUGGAGGUAGCCAUCCACACUCUUCGGGGACUCCCUGA